rnacentral:rRNA from 1 species
ACUCGAGUGGCGAACGGGUGAGUAACACGUGGGUGAUCUGCCCUGCACUUCGGGAUAAGCUUGGGAAACUGGGUCUAAUACCGGAUAGGAGCCAUCUUUAGUGUGGUGGUUGGAAAGUUUUUCGGUGUAGGAUGAGCUCGCGGCCUAUCAGCUUGUUGGUGGGGUACUGGCCUACCAAGGCGGCGACGGGUAGCCGGCCUGAGAGGGUGUACGGCCACAUUGGGACUGAGAUACGGCCCAG